UACGGAGGGGACUAGCGUUGUUCGGAAUUACUGGGCGUAAAGCGCACGUAGGCGGAUUUGUAAGUCAGGGGUGAAAUCCCGGGGCUCAACCUCGGAACUGCCUUUGAUACUGCAAAUCUCGAGUCCGGAAGAGGUGAGUGGAACUCCUAGUGUAGAGGUGAAAUUCGUAGAUAUUAGGAAGAACACCAGUGGCGAAGGCGGCUCACUGGUCCGGUACUGACGCUGAGGUGCGAAAGCGUGGGGAGCAAACAGG
rnacentral:rRNA from 1 species